AGUUGGCAGUGUGCAACCAGAAGAGGGCC
rnacentral:piRNA from 1 species